CCCAGCCCCCCUGUCCCAGUCGCCGUCCCCCCUUCCCUUGGUGGCUCUCGCAGCCGGCUCCGCUCCCGGCUCGGCCGCUCUUCGCGGGAGCGCUCUGACAGCACCUGCAGGACAGCGCGGGCACUCGGAGCCGGGAAGGGGAAUAAGCAAGAAGACACGGUUUCAACAUCAAGAUACUGAAGCUUCAGCUGGAGUUCUACUGCUGUUCGUACAAAGAUUCAAGAGAAUAUCCUAGAGAAAGCAAAGUUUUACUCCUUUUUAUACAAUUUUUUUGUGAUAUAUUUAUGUGUGUGAGCUCUGUAUGAGCAAAUAUAUACAUGUUCCCAUAAUGAAUCUGCUGUGGACCCUACUGUUGAUUCAGAAAGGCCAUGGGAAUUGUCCCCACAUGCUGCAAACUCAGCCACUCCUCCCGUGGGCUGCCCGGGGCGCUGGGGCAGCACCCAAGGCACCUCGGAGGUCUUGGUGGGUUACAGGUGAUCCCAUGUACAAGGGGAAAAAAAGGAAACUAUCACUUGUUCAGAAGACUGUGCACAGGAUUUAUGAUAAUAAUCCAGACAAGACUUGCAUGUUUUCUGCUCCAUUCUUUGGGUCAAGAACACACUGGUUAAUAGCCAAUUAUUUCAUGCCCUAA
rnacentral:lncRNA from 1 species